rfam:Picea glauca, whole genome shotgun sequence.
AGAGUGUUACUCAGCCAAGAAUGACUUGCCCGCAUACUGUUGUGGAUUAUGGUUCCACAUACACAUUGCAGUUUUGUGGGUAGGUUGUUCUUGGCAAAGCAUCGCUCUCU